GGGCUUGUGGCCUAGUUUGGAUAAGGCGAACGACUCCUAAUCGUUAGAGCGCGAGUUCAAAUCUCGCCAAGUCCG
rfam:Methanobrevibacter arboriphilus JCM 13429 = DSM 1125 strain DH1 MBBAR_1c, whole genome shotgun sequence.